rnacentral:rRNA from 1 species
CUAACCUGCCCACUGAUUUAUUAAAGGGCCGCGGUAUAUUGACUGUGCAAAGGUAGCAUAAUCAUUUGUCUUUUAAUUGAAGGCUAGAAUGAAUGGUUGAAUGAAGUAUUAACUGUCUCAUUAUAAAAAAAAUAAAAAUUUAAUUUUUUAGUCAAAAAGCUAAAAUUUAAUUAGAGGACGAGAAGACCCUAUAGAUCUUUAUAUUAUUAUUAAAAAUAAUUUUAUUGAAUAUAAAAUAUUGUUUUUAAUAAAAAUAUUUUGUUGGGGUGACAGGAAAAUUUAUAAAACUAUUUCUAUAUAAUAACAAUGAUAAUUGAUUAAUUGAUCCAAUAAUAUUGAUUAAAAGUUUAAGUUACCUUAGGGAUAACAGCGUAAUUUUUUUGGCGAGUUCAUAUUAAUAAAAAAGAUUGCGACCUCGAUGUUGAAUUAAAGAU